GCAGUCGCACGAGAAAGCUCUGGCUUGCCGGAGUGAGUAAAGUGGCGCACGGGUGAGUAACGCGUGGGUAAUCUGCCUUCAAGCCUGGGAUAACACUGCGAAAGCGGUGCUAAUACCUGAUAAGCUCACAGUUAUUAAAGACAGUGGGAAAAGAUGGCCUCUGUUUACAAGCUAUCACUUGGAGAUGAGCCCGCGUACCAUUAGCUUGUUGGUGGGGUAAUGGCCUACCAAGGCGACGAUGGUUAGCUGGCCUGAGAGGGCGGCCAGCCACACUGGAACUGAGACACGGUCCAGACUCCUACGGGAGGCAGCAGUGAGGAAUAUUGCGCAAUGGGGGAAACCCUGACGCAGCGACGCCGUGUGAGUGAUGAAGGUUUUCGGAUCGUAAAGCUCUGUCAGAUGGGAAGAAUAAGGGCAGUGUAAAUAAUGCUGUCCGAUGACGGUACCAUCAGAGGAAGCACCGGCUAACUCCGUGCCAGCAGCCGCGGUAAUACGGAGGGUGCAAGCGUUGUUCGGAAUUACUGGGCGUAAAGAGCGUGUAGGCGGGUAUGCAGGUCAGAUGUGAAAUCCCUCGGCUCAACCGAGGAACCGCAUCUGAAACCGUAUGUCUUGAGUACGUCAGAGGAGAGUGGAAUUCCCAGUGUAGAGGUGAA
rnacentral:rRNA from 1 species